rnacentral:lncRNA from 1 species
GAAAAAAUCUGAUUCUUUAAUAUGAUUCAACUAAUCUACGAAUAUCCCUUGAAUAGAUUCUGGAGAUUACUCCUUGAGGAGCCCCAACAGAGAAAUAAUCAGCCUCGACGUAUUGAAUCCACUAAGAACAAAUUACAUUUUUGCUUAAAAAUGUUUCUUUUGUUUUUAUCCCUUUGCUUAAGAAUAUUUCUUUUGUUUAUAUCCCUUUACAUUUUUCUCCCCUUUUUGUCAUCACAUCAAAAAGCACAUAAAACAUAAAGAGAUACUAAAUCAAAUUGCACAGAUUUUUGAAGGAAAAUCUCUAUUCAUUAUAGUAAGUAUAAAAAUGAAUACAUAUCAGAAAAGUCCUCAAGGGACUGUACAUCAUAAAAUCAAAAAUACACUAGGAUCGUCUAGUAGUGGAGGAUGUGGCUCCCGUACUUAGUCUAGUAUGUCGCAUGACCAAGCUUAUCCCCUCAGAUACAUUCCCUAGUUGUGUGAUGAUCUCCGAGGUGGCCUUAGAUUGUAUCUCAGUUAGCUGGGUCACAUUCUCCUGAAUAGUGUCAAGCUUGAAGAUUAAGGCAUUUGCAAGCCUUUCCGCACCUUGACUUUGCCUUCCAAGCUCCUCUCUGAUGCUCUCGCAUCUAUCUCGUGUCUUCCUUAAUAGCUUGAAGGCUCAAAUACUGACCCUGGACCAAGUUCCUCAUGUGAGACAUC